GCCAGAUCAGAGGCAAUAGGGAUGACCAGGGAUGUUCUCUGUUUAGUGAGUCUGCCAGAUCAGAGGCAGUAGGAUGACUGGGAUGUUCUCUGUUUAGUGCGUCUGCCAGAUCAGAGGCAAUAGGGAUGACCAGGGAUGUUCUCUGUUAUUGAGUCUGCCAGAUCAGAGGCAGUAGGGAUGACCUGGGAUGUUCUCUGUUUAGUGCGUCUGCCAGAUCAGAGGCAAUAGGGAUGACCAGGGAUGUUCUCUGUUUAGUGAGUCCUCCAAUCAAGCAGUAGGGAUACCAGGGAUGUUCUCUUGAUAGGUUUGUGAAUUAGACCAUUUUUCUGUCCAUUUUUCUUCCUCAACUGAAACUGUGUGGACUGUCUUUGGAUGGGCAGAGGUGGGCCUGACUGCCUGUCUAGAGGGAGAGGGGGAAAUGGGGCAGGUGCUUGGUGCGCAGCAACGGCCAAUUGCAGGCUAGAGGCAGGGCUGGUUAGGGGGAGGGUAUCAAAACCAGAAUUGUAUAAGGCGUGGGCAAACACUGGAGCUGUCUACUUGUGCUGUGCCCCUGUCCAGCCGGCCAGUUGCUCUCUCUCUCUCUCUCUCUCUCUCUCUCUCUCUCCCUCUCGUGCUUUUCUGUCUGCCUGUUUUUCUCUCUGCCGGACCAGGUCUCCUCCACCAUGCUGGUAAAAGCGCUCCUUCAGACCUCACUGGUCCUAUGGCUGGCACAGCACACACUACAAGGAGGAGUGAAACCUCAAAGUGGCGGUAUGGGGAAAAUGCUACCCAGGGGGGCUGGUGCUCUUGGGAUACAGGGAGGCUACGGAGCCAAGCCCGCCAAAACCGGAGGAGCUGGGGGUAAUAUUGAUUGACUUCCAUGUUUAUAUUUUUAGUGCUGCCAAUCAUCAUUUGUGAUUUAAUUUAUGUACCAUCAUGACCUGUCUUUCUAAUGAAUCACAGGUGGUCAUUAUCCAGGGGGGGCUCAGCAGCUUGGAGGAGGGGGAUACAGAGGCCCAGGAGGGGCCGGGGGUAGGGGAGGAUAUGGUAACGGAGGCCAGGGAGGCUAUGGUGCUGGUCUGGGAGCAGGAAAUGGCCAAGGAAUGGGGACGGGAGCCGGGCUGGGCUCACAGGGUGGGAAACCACGUGGAGGUGGAGGAUACGGUGGUAAUGGCUAUGGCACACAGCCAGGUUACGCGGCUGGAGCUGGAGCCAGAGGCUAUCCACGACCAGGUGCUGGAGCUGGGUAUCCCAAUGGACAGGGAUCUAAGGGACCAAAACCGGUGUAUGCUGCAGGAGCUGGAGGAGUUCCCACUGGACAGGGUGCUAAACCAUCCAAACAGGGAUAUGGUGCAGGAGCUGGAGUGCCCAAUGGACAGGGUGCUAAGCCCAAUGGAUAUGGUUCAGGAGCUGGAGUUCCCAAAGGUCAGGGAGCCAAAGGCAAUGGAUAUGUUCCAGGAGCUGGAGUUCCCAGUGAUCAGGGAGCCAAAGGCAAUGGAUAUGGUCCAGGAGCUGGAGCUACCAACAGUGCUAAAAGCAAUGGAUAUGGUCCAGGAGCUGGAGUUCCCAGUGAUCAGGGAGCCAAAGGCAAUGGAUAUGGUCCAGGAGCUGGAGUUCCCAAUGGUCAGGGUGCUAAACCCAAUGGAUAUGGUCCAGGAGCUGGAGCACCUAACGGCGCUAAAAGCAAUGGAUAUGGUGCAGGAGCUGGUGUUCCCAGUGAUCAGGGAGCCAAAGGCAAUGGUAAACCUCUGAUACCUUGUCUGUGUGUCUCUGUCAGUCUUUGUGCAUCUUGUCUGUCCGUGUCAGACAACAUGUGUUGUGUUUAUGCAAGUGGUUUUGAUUUUCUAUAAGCAGUGUUGAAUAACAGUUUUUGCGGUCUUCAGGACAUGGUCCAGGAACUGAAGUUCCCAAUGGUGGGGCUAAAAGCAAUGGUAAUGCCAGUUUAAAUCUCUGAGUUCAAAUAACUAGAUGGCACACAUUAUCAUAACCUACAAAAUAAAGUGGGUCCCCUGUAAGGACAAUAACACAGUAGGAGGAGACAGGGUGAUAUGUUUCUUAUUUUAAACCACUCUCUGUGUGGUGGUGUUUUUCAUGGUCAUUCGAGCCGGACAUAUAAUAUAUAAUAAUACAGUAUAUGCCAUUUAGCAGACACUGUUAACCAAAGAAACUUCUAGUCACGCAUGCAUACAUUUUAUAAAUGGGUGGCCCCAGUGGGAAUCAAACUCACAACUCUUAGUGUUGCAAGCGCUAUAACAGAGGGACAUUAUAUAUUAUAAGCUACAGAGCUAACUUGUUUAGUCGUCCCCAUGAUAUGGUCCAGGAGCUGGAGUUCCCAGUGAUCAGGGAGCCAAAGGCAAUGGUAAACCUCUGUGUCUGUCCUUUUUUUUCUAUUUUUCUUUGUGGCUGUAAUAUUGUGUAGGUAGCACUGUUGAGUAACAUUUGUUGUGGUCUCUAGGAUAUGGUCAAGGAGUGGGAGAUCCCAAUGGACAGGGUGCUAAAGCAACCAAAACAGCUAACCCCAUACAAUCUAGCUGUCUGUGUGUUAUAUCCACCUGCAUGUGCCAUUAACUGCCGUUUGUAGUGAUCAGUUUGUGUCAAUGGCUCAAGUGCCUUAGGAAAGUAUUCAGUACUUUUUCCUCGUUUUGUUACAUUACAGCCUUAUUCUAAAAUGGAUUAAAUAAAUAAAAAAUCCUCAUCAAUCUACACACAAUAGCCAAUAAUGACAAACCGAAAACAGGUUUUUAGACACAGAUCUGGGGAAGGGUACCAAAAAAUGUCUGCAGCAUUGAAGGUCCCCAAGAACACAGUGGCUGCCAUCAUUCUUAAAUGGAAGAAGUUUGGAACAACCUUGACACUUCCUUGAGCUGCCCGCUCUACCAAACUGAGCAAUCAGGGGAGAAGGGCCUUGGUCAGGGAGGUGGAGAUGGGAGAACCUUCCAGAAGGACAACCAUCUCUGCAGCACUCCACCAAUCAGGCUUUUAUAGUAGAGUGGCCAGACCGAAGCCACGCCUCAGUAAAAGGCACAUGACAGCCCACUUGAGCUUGCCAAUUGGCACCUAAAGGACACCCAGACCAUGAGAAACUAGAUUCUCUGGUCUGAUGAAACCAAGAUUGAACUCUUUGGCCUGAAUGCCAAGCUUCACGUCUGGAGGAAACCUGGUAACAUCCCUACAGUGACGCAUGGUAAUGGCAGCAUCAUGCUGUAGGGAUGUUUUUCAGCAGCAGUGACUGGAAGGCUAGUCAGGAUCGAGGCAAAGAUGAACGGAGCAAAGUCAGAGAGAUCCUUGAUGAAAACCUGCUCCAGAGUGCUCAGGACCUCAGACUGGGGCAAAUGUUCACCUUCCAACAGGAUAACGGCCCUCCAACAGGAUAAUGGCCCUAAGCACACAACCAAGACAACAUAGGAGUGGCUUCGGGACAAGUCUCUGAAUGUCCUUAUUCCACAGGCUGCGGCCCAGCCAGAGCCUGGAUGUGAAUACGAUCGAACAUCUCAGGAGAGACCUGAAAAUAGUUGUGCAGUGAUACUCCCCAUCCGACCUGACAGAGCUGGAGAAGAUCUGCAGGGAAGAAUGGGAGAAACUUCCCAAAUACAGGUGUGCCAAGCUUAUAGCAUCAUACCCAAGAAGAUGCAAUGCUGUAAUCGCUGCCAAAGGUGCUUUAACAAAGUACUGAGUAAAGGGACUGAAUGCUUAUGUAAAUGUGAUAUUUACGUUUAUAUUUUUUAUAAAUUAGCAAAAAUGUCUAAAAACCUCUUUUUGCUUUGUCAUUGUGCGGUAUUGUGUGUAGAUUGAGGAGGGGAAAAAACGAUUUAAUCAAUUUUAGAAUAAGGUAACAAAAUGUGGGAAAAGUUGAGGGGUCUAAAUACUUUCCAAAGGCACUGUAUAUGAUAUUACCCUCUAUGAAUGAUGCACCGGUCUUGUUGGCUCUAUGUUUGUGUUCUAGAAGCACACUGGAAGCUUUUGAUGAAUUGCUUUAGGGAUGGUUGACUUGAAAUUUGACCUGAGUUGCAGGUUUGUCUUAUUUUCACUGUGGCUUGGAUUUGUGUAAACAUAUCUUUCUGAUUGGUCACAGUUAUGUCGUAAGCAUGGAUGUUGAGUGUCACAGGCUACGGCCUAAUCACAGUGAUAUGUAAUGUGCAUGGAUGUUGAGUGUCACAGGCUACGGCCUAAUCACAGUG
ensembl:lncRNA